rnacentral:rRNA from 1 species
GCGCAAUGGGCGAAACGUGACGCAGCGACGCCGCGUGAGGGAUGACGGCCUUCGGGUUGUAAACCUCUUUCAGCUCCGACGAAGCGAAAGUGACGGUAGGAGCAGAAGAAGCACCGGCCAACUACGUGCCAGCAGCCGCGGUAAUACGUAGGGUGCGAGCGUUGUCCGGAAUUAUUGGGCGUAAAGAGCUCGUAGGCGGUCUGUCGCGUCGGCUGUGAAAACUCGGGGCUCAACUCCGAGCUUGCAGCCGAUACGGGCAGGCUAGAGUUCGGCAGGGGAGACUGGAAUUCCUGGUGUAGCGGUGAAAUGCGCAGAUAUCAGGAGGAACACCGGUGGCGAAGGCGGGUCUCUGGGCCGAUACUGACGCUGAGGAGCGAAAGCGUGGGGAGCGAACAGGAUUAGAUACCCUGGUAGUCCACGCCGUAAACGUUGGGCGCUAGGUGUGGGAUCCCUUCCACGGGUUCCGUGCCGUAGCUAACGCAUUAAGCGCCCCGCCUGGGGAGUACGGCCGCAAGGUAA